AGUUUCCCGGGCUGCAUCCACAAACUGUCAUAAACCCGUCCCGUCGGUACGAGGGGAAACACGCAAGAGAAAAGUCCUCGACAAUGUCAUUAUUCAAAAGUCGAGGUGUAUUUGCGAGUCUUUGUUUGUGGAGUAUCUUGUUCUUGAGUGUCAGUGCGAAGACGCGGAAGAAAGACGAGACCCAGUCGAUGAACGACAUCUACCGAGGGAGAUGUGCGUCUAGGUGCCUCAGCUUGCACAGCACUCGCAUAGCGACGCUCUCCAAACAAUCUCAGGUGGAGAACAACGGAUCCCUGGGCUGGUGUCAAAAUCAUAAACAGUGUGCCAAGUGCCUGGAACCCUGCAAGGCCUCCUGGGACCUGAAGAGCCAGUGCUGGGAGCUUUGUGAGCGCUCAUUUCCCAAGAAGCACUGGGAGUGUGUGACGAGUUGUGAGUUCCUGCGCUCGGUGGUGGCAGUGAAGCAGGGUGACUGCCCUGCCCCUGAAAAGGCCAGCGGAUUCGCGGCGGCGUGCGUGGAGGGAUGCGAGGAGGACAGAGAGUGCUCUGCCCAGAAGAAGUGCUGUUCCAACGGCUGUGGGCACACCUGCCAACCUCCCAAGAACCUUUACAAAGGAGCCCCUCUGAAGCCCAGAAAGGAGCUGAGUUUUGAGGAGCUGAGGUCUGGUCAAAUGGAGGUGAGCUGGUCCACCCGAUUCAACGUGUCAGCCGAGCCGGUCAUCUACGUGCUCCAGAGGAGGUGGAACUACGGGAUCCAACCCAGUGAGGACGCUGCUACACAAUGGGAGGUGGUAGCUCAGACCACGGAGGUGAAAGCGCGGCUGGCUGAUAUCCGGGCAGGCCGGUGGUACCAGUUCAGAGUGGCAGCAGUAAACGUCCACGGGACCAGAGGGUUCACCACUCCCAGUCGCCACAUCCACACCAAGAAAGACCCCUCCAGCCCCCCUGCCCCAUCUGAGCUGAGGAUGUCCAACAUGACCUUUGGCCCCGGCGGCAGGGCGGUGUCGGUCCGGCUGCGCUGGUCCAUCCCCUCAGACCUGGAUGUCCCUGUACACCACUACAAGGUGUCCUGGAGCUGGGCCACAGGCAGCACUGGGGCCAUUGCACCACCUAAGACCAAGAGGAGGAAGAUGGUCAAUGGGGGGCAGAGCUAUGUGGAGCUGGAGAGUCUGCGAGCUAACAGGAGUUACAGUGUGGAGCUACAGGCUGUGUCCUAUUGGGGACAGACCCCACUGAAAAGUCCCAAAGCCACCCUGCACUUCAACACACGACACAGGCAGGAGCAGACGUCUGGCGCCCGCCCGGUCCCCGUCCCCGAGGGCCUUAUCCCUGAUGUGUUGGAUAUGGGCACCCCUUUCUACCAGGACGGCCAGCUGCAGGUCCGGAUCUACUGGCAGAGGAGCACAGAUCCCACUGUAGUUCGGUAUCGUGUCCAGUGGGUACCAGAGUACUGUGGACACAACCAGACCAAAGGAGUGGACAAGAUCAUCACACGGGAGGGCUUUGCCAGCCUCCACAGCCUGCUCUUCUCCUGUAAGUACAGAGUGAACCUCCAGCCACUGGGUACUAAGGGACGUGCCCAUGCAGAAACCACCUUCUUCUUCACCCCCUCCUGUGCCACCAUCAGGGCCAAGAGCCCCAAACACAUAGCCUGUCCCGGCCAGGAAGGAGCUCCUCCUCCUCCUCCUCCCAAGGUGCUGUCCAAGGCAGAGAACCUGACCGCCUCCUUCAUGGCCCACAAGGGUAACGUCACAGCUGUGUUUACAUGGGAGGUGUCUACGCCACUCCCACCCCAACAGCUCCACGGGUUCCAGGUCACAUGGGCGGAAGUGACCUCAGCCGGUCGCCAUAACAACCUUCCCAACAGCCUAAUCUCACAGUCCCAGAUACUACCACCAGAGCGUAAUGUCCUGGUAGUGUCAGGUCUGCAGCUAGCCACCCUCUACAGGUUGGAGAUCCAGCUGAUUGGAGCAGGAGGAGAGGGUCCCGCCACCACCAAGACUUUUUGCACUCCCACCACCUCACCAGUCCAGCAGCACAGACCUAGACUCAGGAACCAGCACCAGCCCAACAUAGAGAGGCACUGACCAGACUGCACAGAACUAACCUCCGAGACUCAGGACACUGGAGAACAGCCACCAACAGAAGAGAGAAGUAUUCUCUUUCAGACACUACUCAGUCAUGCCUCUACUGUUGUAUGUACACUCUACCAAUCAAAGGAAUUGCUAACAAGUAGCCCACCGAUAAACCGUUCACCCAACACUUCAAUGAGGAAAUGCUUCUGAAUUUUGCAUGUGGAUAUGAGUCGUUAUACAGUAGAUUAAGAUUCCUUAGACCUUGGCUUUGCAUGUAAAAUCCUAAUGUUUCUGGCAUGAAAUGAUUUGUAUUACAACCUCCCUGUCUCCGACAAAUAGACAAUGACUUGUCACUGUUAAUUAAUACACUUUUAAAAUAUAAAAGUGAUGUUAUUUUACAUUUUAAUAGGCUGAAGAUGUCAUUUUGUGCCCCAACUCAUGUACUGUAAAUGGUGUACAUACAGUUUGUCUAUAAUUUAUUAAUGUCUACAGUGGUUUAUUUGUAUGUAUUACUGUACACAGUUGUCUUUGUUACUUUUGACUGUAUGUUCUUUCCAGUUCACCCUUUUGUAAACUGACAUACCCUGUAUAGAGAUGUAUAAGUAAAUUCCAUGUCAAAAAGUGUUGUGUCUGUGCAUAUUUUAUACUGUAUGGUUCAAAAGUCCAUAGUUAUACACCAGAGAAAAUGAACAACCAUUGUGUUUCUAUUGACAUGGUAGCUUGUUUGGUGUGCAAACAAAAGGUUAGCUAGUGAAACACAGGUCUCCUGGGGACGUGUGGAAAUACAAACACACACACCACCCGGCAACGCAGUUUGUCAGCGUUCUAUACCCAUGGUGCAUGGCGUCACACUUAUUCCCGUUCAACCCAAACAACUGGGUCUCUGUUUCUGCCUGUCUAACUACGGUGAGACUGAACAUCAACAAGGUGCAGGAUAAGCAGAAGCAGAGCUACCAGAGGAAAAUCAAGAAGGGGACCAAGUGCUUCGACAUCCGGGCAAAUUACUUGGUUUGGAAGAAGGAUGAAAGGAAGGCGAGACCUGGGAAACCUCGCUCCUCUUUCGCUCCUAGCUGUGGUCAUCAUCCGUUAGGGUUAGGUAAAUAUAAAAAAAUCUCAGAUAAUAACUAUUUGAAUUUGCACACAAAAUAACCUGAAGCUAGUUUAAGUUUUCCUAACACUGACAUUUUUCUCUUUAUGUCUUCAUAAUGGUUACCUCGGUGGAAGCCAACAAUCUUCUCCAGUUGGAGCAGUUGGACACUUCCAACUAUUCCGUCACACUCCUGGUUAGACAAUUUUACAAUUGAUCAUGCUCAAGCUCUUCUGCAGGUGCAGCAUUCAGAAGUAGGAGGCUUCCUCGCGGUGGGCGGCAACGCCAUGCUGUCAGCAGUACCAACACUGGCCCAGGGGUUUGUCCAGAUAGUCAAUCUCAAGGCUAACUACUGGGUCACGGUAAGUAACCUUCGCUGAGCGGUAGGUACUGUUAAGGUGUAUGACUCCAGUGGUCAUAACACCACCCCAGAGUUUCUCUCACAAUUGACAGUUCAGUUGCCUAGUUCCUUACUGGUCCUUAACCCCUUCUCCCUAAAUAUUCAUCUUUUGUGUCCAAUUCCAAAUCAAGUUUUAGGCCAGGGUUGGCAUGGAAUUGGACAUUGGUUUCUAGUUAGUGUUUGCAUAUCUGGAGGUUCUAGAUUUGUGUACGUAAUAUGGUAGAAGUCUCCCAGAGUCCAUUACACAGCAGGGUUGAGUCAUCACCAUAUUACUACACCUAUCCCAGCCCCAUCAGGUCAAACACUACAAAGAUAGAGUAGCGGGUUAAAGCCUUAAUUAAAAACAAAAUCCUUCUCUUGGCCCAUACCUUGAUGUGGUGAGAGGGCUUCCAACUAAACCAGGCCCAUGUUAUUGAACCCCUGACUGAGACUGGCUGCCUGUUGAGAACAAGUGACAGGAAGAACUAGCCACAGCACCUGAUUGAACAUCUCUUGAUUCUGCCUCUUUCCUCUCUCCUCAUCCUAUAACUCUUUCUCUCCUCUCCCUUCAGACGAAAUUCUGUAUCUAGUGAUGUCUGAUUGCCCAACAAUCUGACCACUCAUCCCAUCCCCUCCUCCGUCUCAUUACAUUGUCUAAAGCUACUGUCAUUGUCAUGUUGUCAUUAUCUGCUAAUAAAGUUUGCUAGCCGUAUCAUACUGGGCAUAUAAUAUGUAAGAUACGCAGAUGAACUAAAAACCACUAGCAGUGCAAACACUCAGAACAAAGAGAGCAGCAGUGCCUGGGCUUCACAUUCUCCCUCAUCAAGUCCCCCAUUCCGAGACUGCCUGUUGAGAACAAGUGACAGGCAGGCCCUCCCACCCACACAGCACCCACCUCUUCAUUCCACACACCAGAAUGAAGUAUUUCAGUCUGAUUGCAAUGUGAGUGUACAAAAAAAUGACCUGUGAAAAUAAAUGAAAUGACACA